rnacentral:rRNA from 1 species
UACGUAGGGGGCAAGCGUUGUCCGGAUUUAUUGGGCGUAAAGAGCGUGUAGGCGGCCUGACAAGUCUGCUGUGAAAACUCGAGGCUCAACCUCGAGAUGGCGGCGGAAACUGUCUGGCUAGAGUCCGGGAGGGGCGAGUGGAAUUCCUGGUGUAGCGGUGAAAUGCGCAGAUAUCAGGAGGAACACCGGUGGCGAAGGCGGAUCUCUGGGCAUUACCUGACGUUCAGGUGCGAAAGCUAGGGGAGCGAACAGG